AACGUAGGAGGCGAGCGUUAUCCGGAUUUACUGGGUGUAAAGCGCGUGCAGGCGGUUCUGCAAGUGGGACGUGAAAGCGCCCGGCUCAACCGGGCGAGGCCGUUCCGAACUGCGGGACUGGAGGCAGGUAGAGGCGUGUGGAAUUCCGGGUGUAGUGGUGAAAUGCGUAGAGAUCCGGAGGAACACCAGUGGCGAAGGCGACACGCUGGGCCUGGCCUGACGCUCAGACGCGAAAGCAUGGGGAGCGAACGGG
rnacentral:rRNA from 1 species